rnacentral:misc_RNA from 1 species
GAAGAAGGAAAAACAAAAUUGGGAAAAUCAGAUAAGUCAAAAAGAACUGAACUUUGCUUUGUAUUCUUUAACUGUUUACUAGAAAGGUCAACUAAAUUCAUCAAGUGGUACAACAUCUUAUUUGAAAGGCAACGAUUUGGGAAAACCUCAAAAGCCUACUGUUUGGUUUAGCACUUUUUCACUAAGGGGGUUGUGGUUUUCAUAAGUUAUCAUCUUGAUGUCAAUUUUAGGUAA